rnacentral:rRNA from 1 species
UGGGGAAUAUUUCACAAUGGCCGGAAGUCUGAUGCAGCAACGCCGCGUGCGGGAUGACGGCCUUCGGGUUUUAAACCGCUUUUUCUCAUGACGAAGUUUUUUGACGGUAGUGGGGGAAGAAGCACCGGCUAACUACGUGCCAGCAGCCGCGGUGAUACGUAGGGUUCGAGCUUUUUCCGGAAUUAUUGGGCGUAAAGAGCUUGUAGGCGGUUUGUCGCGUCGAUAGUGCAAACUCAGUGCUUAACGCUGAGCCCGCUGUUGAUACGGGCAGACUAGAGGAAGGUAGGGGAGAAUGGAAUUCCCGGUGGAGCGGUGGAAUGCGCCGAUAUCGGGAGGAACACCGGUGGCGAAGGCGGUUCUCUGGGCCUUUCCUGACGCUGAGAAGCGAAAGCGUGGGGAGCGAACAGG